CUCCUUGACGUUAGCGGCGGACGGGUGAGUAACACGUGGGUAACCUACCUAUAAGACUGGGAUAACUUCGGGAAACCGGAGCUAAUACCGGAUAAUAUUUCGAACCGCAUGGUUCGAUAGUUAAAGGUGGUUUUUGCUAUCACUUAUAGAUGGACCCGCGCCGUAUUAGCUAGUUGGUAAGGUAACGGCCUACCAAGGCGACGAUACGUAGCCGACCUGAGAGGGUGAUCGGCCACACUGGAACUGAGACACGGUCCAGACUCCUACGGGAGGCAGCAGGC
rnacentral:rRNA from 1 species